rnacentral:rRNA from 1 species
CCUACGGGAGGCAGCAGUGAGGAAUAUUGGUCAAUGGGCGAGAGCCUGAACCAGCCAAGUAGCGUGAAGGAUGACUGCCCUACGGGUUGUAAACCUCUUUUAUAAAGGAAUAAAGUCAGGCACGUGUGCCUUUCUGCAUGUACUUUAUGAAUAAGGAUCGGCUAACUCCGUGCCAGCAGCCGCGGUAAUACGGAGGAUCCGAUCGUUAUCCGGAUUUAUUGGGUUUAAAGGGGGCGUAGAUGGGUUGUUAAGUCAGUUGUGAAAGUUUGCGGCUCAACCGUAAUAUUGCAAUUGAUACUGGCAGUCUUGAGUACAGUUGAGGUAGGCGGAAUGCGUGGUGUAGCGGUGAAAUGCAUAGAUAGCACGAAGAACUCCGAUUGCGAAGGCAGCUUACUAAACUGCCACUGACAUUGAUGCUCGAAAGUGUGGGUAUCAAACAGGAUUAGAUACCCUGGUAGUC